UACGUAGGGUGCAGGCGUUAAUCGGAAUUACUGGGCGUAAAGCGUGCGCAGGCGGUUUCUUAAGUCAGAUGUGAAAGCCCCGGGCUUAACCUGGGAACUGCGUUUGAAACUGGGAGACUUGAGUGUGGCAGAGGGGGGGUGGAAUUCCACGUGUAGCAGUGAAAUGCGUAGAUAUGUGGAGGAACACCGAUGGCGAAGGCAGCCCCCUGGGUUAACACUGACGCUCAUGCACGAAAGCGUGGGGAGCAAACAGG
rnacentral:rRNA from 1 species